rnacentral:rRNA from 1 species
UACCAGCACCCCGAGUGGUCGGGACGUUUAUUGGGCCUAAAGCAUCCGUAGCCGGUUCUACAAGUCUUCCGUUAAAUCCACCUGCUUAACAGAUGGGCUGCGGAAGAUACUAUAGAGCUAGGAGGCGGGAGAGGCAAGCGGUACUCGAUGGGUAGGGGUAAAACCCGUUGAUCCAUUGAAGACCGCCAGUGGCGAAGGCGGCUUGCCAGAACGCGCUCGACGGUGAGGGAUGAAAGCUGGGGGAGCAAACCGG